AUUGAACGCUGGCGGCAGGCUUAACACAUGCAAGUCGAGCGAGCGGCGGCCGGGUGAGUAAUGUCUGGGAAACUGCCUGAUGGAGGGGGAUAACUACUGGAAACGGUAGCUAAUACCGCAUCCCAUCGAAUGUGCCCAGAUGGGAUUAGCUAGGAGGUGGUGUAAAGGUUCACCUAGGCGAAGAUCCCUAGCUGGUCUGAGAGACUGACGAGGCAAACUGGAACUGAGACACGGUCCAGACUCCUACGGGAGGUAGCCGGGGGGAAUAUUGCAAAAUGGGCGCAAGCCUGAUGCAGCCAUGCCGCGUGUAGGAAGAAGGCAUUCGGGUUGUAAAGUACUUGCAGCGGGGAGGCGUUACCCGCAGAAGAAGCACCGGCUAACUCCGUGCCAGCCGCCGCGGUAAUUC
rnacentral:rRNA from 1 species